UUUUAUAAAUAAUUUAAUUAAGAUUAUAUUUAAAUAAAAAUUAAAAUUAAUUUAUUUAUUUUGUUGGGGUGACAGAAAAAUAAAUAAAACUUUUUUUAAAAAUAAACAUAUAUAAAUGAAUAAAUGAUCCAAUAUUAUUGAUUAAAAGAAAAA
rnacentral:rRNA from 1 species